GGGGCUGUAGUGUAGCUUGGUAUCAUAGGCGGUUCGGGGCCACCUGACCGGAGUUCGAAUCUCCGCAGCCCCA
rnacentral:tRNA from 1 species